UCUAAUAGUAAAAGGGUAAUACCUCUGGGGAAACCUAUACCCCUUGGCGGCCUCUAUCCCCAUUAAAGGAACUUGUUAAAUAAUCGAAAGUACCCGCUCAAUCUCCCUUUUCAUAAGCCUUUAUACCGUCGUCUCAAGAGUCAAUUCUUAAAUUAUUCUCGCAAUCGGACCAUCCGACCAAGUCAGAUCAAGGUGAAGCUCAUAGAAAAGAAUUAAUGAGUUAUUCAUAAAAACUAUUUAAGGAUUUUAUAUCAAAAGACAAAUAAAUCAAGAUUUAAAAGUACCUCAAGAUUAUAAUUCUUGUGGAAAAAAGUUAAUAAAGGUGU
rnacentral:rRNA from 1 species